rnacentral:rRNA from 1 species
GGAGCAUGUGGUUAAUUCGAUGAUACGCGAGGAACCGUUACCUGGGCUCAAAUGUAUGUUGACGUAUUCUGAAAGGGAUACUUCUUCGGACAAUAUACAAGGUGCUGCAUGGUUGUCGUCAGCUCGUGCCGUGAGGUGUCGGGUUAAGUCCCAUAACGAGCGCAACCCCUAUCAUUAGUUGCCAUCAGGUCAAGCUGGGGACUCUAAUGAAACUGCCUACGCAAGUAGUGAGGAAGGUGGGGAUGACGUCAAAUCAGCACGGCCCUUACGUCCAGGGCUACACACGUGCUACAAUGGCCGGUACAAAGGGCAGCUACCUGGUGACAGGAUGCUAAUCUCAAAAGCCGGUCUCAGUUCGGAUCGGAGUCUGCAACCCGACUCCGUGAAGCUGGAAUCGCUAGUAAUCGUGGAUCAGCCAAGCCGCGGUGAAUACGUUCCCGGGCCUU